UACGGAGGAUCCAAGCGUUAUCCGGAUUUAUUGGGUUUAAAGGGUGCGUAGGCGGAUUGAUAAGUUAGAGGUAAAAUGUCCGAGCUUAACUCGGGAACUGCCUCUAAUACUGUUGAUCUAGAGAGUAGAUGCGGUAGGCGGAAUGUAUGGUGUAGCGGUGAAAUGCUUAGAGAUCAUACAGAACACCGAUUGCGAAGGCAGCUUACCAAUCUAUAUCUGACGUUGAGGCACGAAAGCGUGGGGAGCAAACAGG
rnacentral:rRNA from 1 species